ensembl:lncRNA
AUUAACGAAUGUGGAAUAUUGAAAUCUCCAGCUAGUAUUGUUGAACAGUCUAUUUCUCCUUUCAAUCCUGUCAGUGUUUGCUCCAUAUAUGUUGGGGCUCUGUUGUUAGCUGCUUAUAUGUUUAUAAUUGUUAUAUCUCCUGAUAGAUUGACACUUUAAUUAACAUAUAACGUCCUCUUUUGUCUCUUGUAACCUUUUCUGACUUCAAGUUUAUUUUGUCUGAUAUUAUAGCCAUCCCAGGGCUCUCUGAGUUAUUAAUUACAUAAAAUGUCUUUUCCAUGCUUUGACUUUGAAACUCUUUGUGUCUUUGGAUCUAAAGUGAGUCUCUUGUAAACAGCAAAUAGGUAAAUCAUUUUAAAAAAUCCAUUCUGCCAAUCUCUGCCUUUUAAUUAGAGAGUUUAAUCCAUUUACAUUUAAAUAAUUCCUGAUAAGAAAGGACUCCUGCCAUUUGGCUAUUUGGUUUUUAUAUUAUACAUGUUUUGUUCCUCAAAUUCCUCCAUUUUUGCCUUCUUUUAUUUUUGAAUUUUGUAGUGUACCAUUCUGAUUCCCUUCUCAUUUCUCUUUCUGUAUAUUUUUUAUUUUCUUAGUUGUUAUGCUGGGGAUUUCAGUUGACAUCUUAAACUUAUGUCAGUCUAGUUUGAAUUAAUACCAACUUUGCCUCCAUAGUAUAGAAAAACUCUGCUUCUUUACAGCUCUGCCCCUCUUUUUGUUGUUAUUGUCACAAAUUACAUCUUUAUACAUGUGUCCAUCAACAUAGACUUAUAAUUAUUGUUUAAAUUCAUAUAUGAAUUAAGACAAGUUAUAGACCCAAAAGAUACUAAUACUGACUUUUAUAUUUACCUAUGUAGUUACCUUUGCUGGUAUUCUUUAUUUCUUCAUGUGGAUUCAAGUUUUUGUCUAGUGUCGUUUCAUUUCUGCCUCAAGGACUCCCUUGAGCAUUUCCUAAAGGGCAGACCAAUAGUGAUGAGCGUUCUCAGUUUUUGUUCAUCUGGAAAUGUCUUAAUUUCUCCUUUUUUUCUAAUGGGUAGUUUUACUGGAUAUAGAAAUCUUGUUAACAGUUUUGAUUUUUCUUUUUCAGCACUUUGAAUAUGUCAUCCCACUGCCUCUGGCCUUCAUGGUCUUUAAUGAGAAAUCAGCUAUUAAUCUUGUUAAUGAUUCCUUGUACAUAAUGAGUGGCUUCUCUCUUGCUGCUUUAAAUAUUCUCUCUUUAUCUUUGGCUUUCAACAACUUGAUUAUAAUGUAUAUUGGUGUCAAUCUCUUUCAGUUUAUUCCACUUGGAGUUUUUUAGAUGUAUAGAUUCAUGUUUUUAAUCAAAUUUGGAAAGUUUGUGUCCAGUUUUUUAAAAUAUUCUUUCUUCCCCUUCCCUACCCAGUUUGGGACUACCAUUUUGUGUAUGUUUGUAUGCUUGAAAGUGCCCCACAGGUCUCUUAGGCUCUAUUCAUUUUUCUUUCUUUUCCUUUCUGCUCCUCAGACUGGAUAAUUUCAUUGCACGUAUCUUCAAGUUUCCCAGUUGUUUCUUCUGCCUGUUCAAAUCUGUUGUGUCCUCUAGUGAAUUUUUUAUUUCAAUUAUUGUACUUUUCUGAUCCAAAAUUUCUAUUUGGUUCCUUUUUUAUAAAUUAUUUUCCUUUAUUGAUAUUUUCUAUUUGGUGAGGCAUUGUUCUCAUGGUUUCCUUUAGCUCUUUGAGCAUAUGUAAAAUAAUUUAUUUAAAAUUGUUGUCUAUUCAGUCCAAUGUCUGAGCUUCUUCAGGGAUAGUUUCUAUUAAUUUCUCUUUUUCCCCUGUGUAUGAACCAUACUUUCUUGUUUCUUUGCACACCUUGUAAUGUUCUGUUGAAAACCAGACAUCUUUAAUAUUACAAGAUGGCAACUCUGGAAAUCAUCUUUGCUCCCUUUCCUAGAGUUUGUUUUUGCUGCUUGUAAUAGUUCUUGAUAUUAGUUUGUUUAGUGACUGUUCUGAACUAAUCUUGUAAGGUCUAUAUUCUUCAUCAUGCAUAGUCACAGAAGUCUCUGUUCCAUUGGUUUGUCGUGAGCUAGUGAUUUGACCAAGAUUUCUUUUGCCUGGAACCAAAAAUAACCCCCUAGUCUUUGCAGAUGUACUGUGUGUGUGUGUGUGUGUGUGUGUGGUGGCACACCGUCAACACUUAGGCAUUUUGUAGGUAAGCCUUAGCCUUCACUUCCUGCUUGCACAGAGCCCGAAGGUCAGUCAGAGGUGAGGCUUUGGAACCUUAUCUACUAAAAACUCAUAAAGAUAUAAAUAAAGAGUAUUUAUUGAAGCCUUAGCUUUGGUGACAAAAGUACUUCAACAUCUUAAAUCAUUUAUGUGUAUAUCUAUAUAUAUCUCGUUUCAUAUUAUCCUAUCAUUAUAUCCUAUCAUAUAAAGGAGGAUACUUUAACUCUUAAGAGGAAUGAGUUUGCUUUUUAUCUACUGUCUUGAAGUGCUGUCCAUGGUAAAUUGUUAUAUGAAAAAAGUAAAAUGGUUUAAAUAAAAUAAUGAAAAC